GGGCCUCUAGCUCAAUUGGCAGAGCAGCUGACUCUUAAUCAGCCGGUUCUCGGUUCGAGUCCGAGGGGGCUCA
rnacentral:tRNA from 1 species